GAAAUAACUGUUCUUAAUUUUGUUUUCGUUUUUAAGUUUGGUGUUUGUUACUUACUUCCCUAUUAUAAUAAUAGAAGAAUGGUUUAAUUCUGAUUCAUUUGUUUUUUUUACUAUAACUGUGAUGAGAUUUGAUUUUGAUUCAUUUAUAUGUACAAUAUUACUUUUGAGGUUGCUUUAGAAGACAAAUUUAAGAAGCUUAUUCACUGUUUGAUAAAAUGUUACAUAGAGAUAUAUUACAUGGAUAAUAAUAAUUAAUGAGUGGUGUUUUACAAACUGUUUUAAAAAAUCUUUGAAAUAUGAAUUAUCAUUUCCGGACAUUCGUAGGUUGAGAAGUUUUAAAUUCAUUGUCCUUGGGUUAGAUUAGAGUCGUUUCACAACUUUUAAAAGUAAAAUCUCAGGGACAGGAGAAAUAGAGCAUAAGCAGAUGAAUACAGUAGAGUACGUAGAAGAGGUGCUCUUAUGCUUGGUAUGUCACUGCUUUGUUGUUUGGGUCAGAAAGCUUACAACGGAAAACUUAUAGGAGCUUAUAGUAGAGUCUGAUUUUUUCCUUCUGAUAGUUGUAGCGUAAUUUAUCUUAUUCAAUCAUAAAAUUAGAGGAGCUUAUAGUAGAGUAUGAUUUUUUCUUUUGAUAGUUGUAGAGUAUUUUAUCUUAUUCAUUUGUUUAUUUUGGGUAAAAUUGGUGGUAAUCUCUUCAUAAACAAUUGCCAGGGGCUGUAGAGUUUGUUUUCUAGUUUACCUUUCUUUGUUUAGACUAUUUAAUCUGAUUUACUGUACUUCUAUUAAAGUUUCUUGUUCUCUAUAUUGGCUUAAUUGCCAAGACAAAUUAUAAUCGUAAUAAUAAUGAUCGUAUGCUUGCAACCUUGUGAUUGAUUUGUUAACAUGCGUAAAUAAACAACCCAUGUUUAGAUUAGUAUUGCCAUCUCUCAAUUUGUGUGUCUCUUGUUUCUCUAAAGCUGGCAAAUGGUAAAUGUAAUAGUGUUUGGCCAAGUUUCUUUUAUUUAAGGAAAUAAAAGAUCUAGUAGUUUAUGUUUCUUUUAACUCUCUGUUCCUAGUCGUGAAUUCAUAUCUACGGAAUAUAUAGCUGUUUUGCAAAGUAGUUGUUUGCAUCUUGUCUCUUAUACUCUGUAUGUGUCCUGACUCACACACUUACCCCCUACCUCCCUUUUUUUCUAUUUUUUUUUCCAUGCAUAUGAAAAAACUCCGACCUUUCUCUGGGGUCUGCCUGAGUGGUUGUUAGAUGGACAACGAGCUUUUGCACGCUGAGUUCCUAUGGAGUUCGUGUUAUUGAAGGAUUCGGAUGGGAGCUUCUUGUGUGUGAUCUGAACCGACUAGACUGCUUGAUCUUCCAUUUGGUCAUACAAUAUGAUGUUCAAAUAGCAUGUGGGAGAUUUCAAUACUAUGAAGAGUUGCGGGAAUUGUUUGAGGCUAUGCAUUUAGACGUUUUUUAUUGCGGGUAUUCGGUAGGAGCAGUAACAAUGACAUUAGCAGUAACAAUGACAUUAGCUGCUUAGUUUAAACAUGUAAUAUUAUCUUUUAAUUCAUUGAUACAUUAGUAUUAUGAAUUAGUACUUGCUUUUGUUUGUUUGUAUUCAAUGAAAUAUAUUAUGUUUAACAUUUUUCAUUAUAAUUGUCUCUAAGUA